UAUUCACGGCUUUUCUAAGUACAGCUGCAUAUCUAUGGCAACUGCCGCGCUGAAAUUUUUGCAAUUUAUAAAUGCAAUUUAGUUGUUUGGUUAAUAGUGCAUAAAAAUUUAUAAAUCUAAAGUGUUUGAUACAAGCUUGGUUGCUAAAACGAUAAAAUAAUGAUAAAAAUAAGUAUGGCACGUGCAUUCAUAUACCAGUUUGUGAAGUUAGAUGGCGAGUUUUGCCAACAAAUAACUUAAGAACUCGUAUUAACUGAAUAAUGGUGGUGUUAAUUUUAGUGACAAAACGUGAAACCAACAUUUCCUUACAAUUUCAUUGAAGCACUCCUAAGGUUUCUUAUAAAACUGUGAAGGGUGCAUUUUACAAACGCACAAACUUAUUUUGCUGAACAAAGAUGGUGAAAUGCGAAAUACUAGAAACAUAAUUGAACGAAACGCGUGAGCCCCGAAGAAUAGAUGGAUAGUCAUAUUUUAGGCAAAAUUACUGUUUCGAUAUUGCGUUCUGUUUUAUAAGUAACACCAGUCGUCGAAUAAUUAACUAGCAUCACUUUUGCUAAUUUUUUGCACGAGGUUACUCCCCGUUAAGUUUCAAUUGUUGUGAUCAAAUAACUCUGAACAUAUCAAUAUGCCCCUUGCAGUCUAAAAAAAAAUACGAGAUCUAUUUUUGUAUUUUCUUAACUUCUACAGUUUUUUGGAACACUCACAAUUGCCAUUUCAAAUCUUACUGGUAGUCUUCUUCUGCCUAUCGUUGAAUGCCGACUGGCGAAGUCGUCGAAAAAUGAUAUCCACCAAUCGAAGGAACUGUGCAUUUAAGAUCCUUUUAAUGUAGCACAUUCAGUGCGACCAGUGUAUGAUUGCGAAACUAUUAAACGUGCCAAAGUAAUAUUUGUGGCUUCCUGGCCAACAUUACAACAAAUUCUCGUUUUAAAUUCUAUGUUUGCUGAAAUUAUCCAACCAAAAUAAGGCAAAGUGAUCACUACGUUAAGUCAUACCGAUUUACAUUAUAAACACUGCUGUGAUAGAAUACCAUCACUCUGUUCAACCAGAGAAAACAUCGCUAUGCACUCCACUACAAAUGGGGCUGCAAAUGCUCUGGCACCAAGGUAGCAGUAAAGAUUUAUCUACUUGUACGUGCACCGAAAAAAUUAGUAUGCACAACAACAUAAAUGGGAAUGCAAAGGCUGCUGAAGGAUCAUUGGCAGAACUGGUAGAAUAAUCAAACAUAUGAGACUUAUUCGCUGUCCAUGUAUUAACGUAUGUAAGUUUAAUUAUCCAAAGAAUUUGUCUAGUUAAUACAAAAUUUUGGUAAAAUAUCACAAUUGGGAAUUGUUACCAAAAGUCUAGCUUAGUGCAUUAAAAAUGGGUUAGAUUUUUCACUUUUAAUGCUUCGAUCGGUUUUACUGGUUAUACGACAGCAAUGAUUUUUUUUCAUAUACUAUACUCGUACAUAUACCAGUGUUUUUAUUAAAACUUCUAUGCGUCGCGAGAUCUCAGCUAAUAAUUUUAAUUAAAUCACUAGUUUGAAUUUCACACUGUUAAAGUUAACUUAUUAUCCCACUUCUGAAUAAUGCGAAAACGCAUUAGAAAACUCCCGUUAUAUUAUGGCUUGGGCUUAUAUAAGUUAAGCAAGUCAUAUUGCUUAUAAAAUAAAACAACACUUUGUUUGAAUUAAAUAGGUACUUUAUUAACUUUAUUAUUUAAGUUGACUUUGCAACUCCUGCAACGUAACAAGAACUGUCCUCGACAGGCAAUGAUACCGCCUUUUAUACCCUCGCGAUCAGUGGUAAUCACCUGUAAGUGUUGUUGCGCGGAAAAGGUUGCUUGGACUCUACCGCUAGCAACACAAUUGUGUUGUUGCAUGCGCAUGACAAGUGGUACCGCUGAUCUGCCCACCAAGCAUGUCAACCAUGCGUUGCUA